UAGGGAAUCUUCCACAAUGGACGCAAGUCUGAUGGAGCAACGCCGCGUGAGUGAAGAAGGUCUUCGGAUCGUAAAGCUCUGUUGUUGGUGAAGAAGGAUAGAGGCAGUAACUGGUCUUUAUUUGACGGUAAUCAACCAGAAAGUCACGGCUAACUACGUGCCAGCAGCCGCGGUAAUACGUAGGUGGCAAGCGUUGUCCGGAUUUAUUGGGCGUAAAGCGAGCGCAGGCGGAAUGAUAAGUCUGAUGUGAAAGCCCACGGCUCAACCGUGGAACUGCAUCGGAAACUGUCAUUCUUGAGUGCAGAAGAGGAGAGUGGAACUCCAUGUGUAGCGGUGGAAUGCGUAGAUAUAUGGAAGAACACCAGUGGCGAAGGCGGCUCUCUGGUCUGCAACUGACGCUGAGGCUCGAAAGCAUGGGUAGCGAACAGGAUUAGAUACCCUGGUAGUCCAUGCCGUAAACGAUGAGCGCUAGGUGUUGGGGACUUUCCGGUUCUCAGUGCCGCAGCAAACGCAUUAAGCGCUCCGCCUGGGGAGUACGACCGCAAGGUUGAAACUC
rnacentral:rRNA from 1 species